CAGAGAGUUCCCUCAGACUCUUCAGCCAGUCCCCCUAACGUGGACACUUACAUAACCACAGCACGAUUAUUUAAGACAGGAGGUUAACACGGACACGAUACUGUUAACUAAUCUUCAGACUUUGCCAGAAUUCCUCCAGUUUCCUACUCGUGGCCUUUUCCUGUGGGAUCCCACGUUGUGUUUUGCUGUGGGGCCUCCUCAGACUUCUGCAAUCUAGGACAGCCCCUAAGUCUCUGUUCAUCUUUCCUGACCGUGGCACUUUGGAGGAGUAGAGAGAGGUUAUUGUUUAGGAUGUCUCUCACUUUCUCUUUGUCUGACUUUUUUCUCAGGAAUAGACUGAGUUGGUGCAACUCUGGCAGGAAGACCAUGGAGAUGUUGGGUCCUUCUCAGCUCCUCGCACCAGGGUGUCCCUGCGGUCACUACAUCUGUAACUGGUGAUGCUAACCUUGGUCUCCAGGAUGUCGAUGAGCUGAGUCUGUGCACCGUCUCUGCCUGCCUUGCAGCUUUGGCAACAACACGCGCAUAAGCGGCUGUGACGGUUCCUUUUGUGUGUCAACUUGGCUGGGCCCAGUUGUAUCAUCAAACAUUAUUCUGGGUGCUUCUGUGAGGACCUUUUUGGGUAAGAUUGAUCUGUGGACUUGGAGUUAAGCAGACUGCCCACCCUAGUGUGGUGGGCCUCAGCCAAUCAGGCGAAGGAAUGGCACAAAGACUGACCUCCCACAAGCAAGAGGGGACCCUGCAGCAGACGCUUUCAGACACAGACCGCAACCUCGGCUCUGCCCCACGUCCGCAGCCUGCUGGCCCGCCCUGCAGAGUGUGAAUUUGCCUCCGUAAUCGCCUGACCCAGUUCCUCAAAAGAAAUCUGUGGCCUUUACAAAGCUCUUGGGCUCCUCGCACAUCACAGUCCCCCAGCCCCCAGCCCCAGGGCAAGGAAGCCUCCAGAGGUUUGUGACACAGGUAAUUCUCUCACAAGCAGAUGUAUUUUUGUAACAUUAUUCAAUACGCCUCGUCCUGGGGGGCACUGUCCAUCGAUUCUUGUUGGGAAGACUUUAGUUUCAAAACUAUUGUAAAGGAAAAAGGACUAGUCAAUUUCAUUGCUUUGUGACACUUCUGUGUCCUUGCGGGUAAAAAGGGAGGAAGGGGCUUUGUUCCCGUGUACCCUGUGCCCUUUCCCUGUAGUCACAAAUGUGUAAAUGGAUCAGUUUUUAC